rnacentral:rRNA from 1 species
UACGUAGGGGGCAAGCGUUGUCCGGAAUUAUUGGGCGUAAAGCGCUCGUAGGCGGUCUGUCGCGUCUGCUGUGAAAACUCGGGGCUUAACCCCGGGCCUGCAGUGGGUACGGGCAGACUAGAGUGCGGUAGGGGAGACUGGAAUUCCUGGUGUAGCGGUGAAAUGCGCAGAUAUCAGGAGGAACACCGGUGGCGAAGGCGGGUCUCUGGGCCGUAACUGACGCUGGGGAGCGAAAGCAUGGGGAGCGAACAGG